rnacentral:rRNA from 1 species
UGAGGUGCGAAAGCGUGGGUAGCAAACAGGAUUAGAUACCCUGGUAGUCCACGCCGUAAACGAUGUCGACCAGCCGUUGGGUGCCUAGCGCACUUUGUGGCGAAGUUAACGCGAUAAGUCGACCGCCUGGGGAGUACGGCCGCAAGGUUAAAACUCAAAUGAAUUGACGGGGGCCCGCACAAGCGGUGGAGCAUGUGGUUUAAUUCGAUGCAACGCGAAGAACCUUACCUACUCUUGACAUCCUGCGAAUUUGGUAGAGAUACCUUAGUGCCUUCGGGAACGCAGAGACAGGUGCUGCAUGGCUGUCGUCAGCUCGUGUUGUGAAAUGUUGGGUUAAGUCCCGUAACGAGCGCAACCCUUGUCCUUAUUUGCCAGCGCGUAAUGGCGGGAACUCUAAGGAGACUGCCGGUGACAAACCGGAGGAAGGUGGGGACGACGUCAAGUCAUCAUGGCCCUUACGAGUAGGGCUACACACGUGCUACAAUGGUCGGUACAAAGGGUUGCCAACUCGCGAGAGUGAGCCAAUCCCGAAAAGCCGAUCUCAGUCCGGAUCGGAGUCUGCAACUCGACUCCGUGAAGUCGGAAUCGCUAGUAAUCGUGGAUCAGAAUGCCACGGUGAAUACGUUCCCGGGCCUUGUACACUCCGCCC